GCGGGAAUAGCUCAGUUGGUAGAGCACGACCUUGCCAAGGUCGGGGUCGCCGAGUCCGAGUCUCGUUUCCCGCUCCA
rnacentral:tRNA from 2 species